UUAGGAAUUUUGCGCAAUGGGCGAAAGCCUGACGCAGCAACGCCGCGUGAGGGAAGAAGGCUUUCGGGUUGUAAACCUCUUUUAGUGGGGAAGAAAAAAAUGACGGUACCCACAGAAAAAGCACCGGCUAACUACGUGCCAGCAGCCGCGGUAAUACGUAGGGUGCAAGCGUUACUCGGAAUUAUUGGGCGUAAAGCGCGUGUAGGCGGCUUCGUAAGUCUGAUGUGAAAUCCCUCGACUCAAUCGAGGAAGUGCAUCGGAUACUGCAGAGCUAGAGUACAGGAGAGGAGAGCGGAAUUCCUGGUGUAGAGGUGAAAUUCGUAGAUAUCAGGAGGAACAACAGUAGCGAAGGCGGCUCUCUGGACUGUAACUGACGUUGAGACGCGAAAGUGUGGGGAGCAAACAGG
rnacentral:rRNA from 1 species